AUUGAACGCUGGCGGCAGGCCUAACACAUGCAAGUCGAACGAGUGGCGGACGGGUGAGUAAUGUCUGGGAAACUGCCUGAUGGAGGGGGAUAACUACUGGACACUGUAGCUAAUACCGCAUACCAUCAGAUGUGCCCAAAUGGGAUGAGCUUGUUGGAGGGGUAACGGCUCACCAAGGAUACGAUCCCUAGCUGGUAUGAGAGGAUGACCAGUCAAACUGGAAAUGAGAAACGGUCCAGACUCCUACGGUAGGCAGCAGUGGGGAAUAUUGCACAAUGGGCGAAAGCCUGAUGCAGCCAUGCCGCGUGUAUGAAGAAGGCCUUCGGGUUGUAAAGUACUGUCAGCGGGGAGGCGUUACCCGCAGAAGAAGCACCGGCUAACUCCGUGCCAGCAGCCGCGGUAAUUC
rnacentral:rRNA from 1 species